rnacentral:rRNA from 1 species
CCUACGGGUGGCAGCAGUGGGGAAUCUUGCGCAAUGGCCGAAAGGCUGACGCAGCGACGCCGCGUGCGGGAGGACGCUCUUCGGGGUGUAAACCGCUGUCAGGGGGGACGAAGUCCACCGGGAGGAAAUGCCCGGUGGUUGACGGUACCCCCAGAGGAAGCACCGGCUAACUCCGUGCCAGCAGCCGCGGUAAUACGGAGGGUGCGAGCGUUGUUCGGAAUUAUUGGGCGUAAAGCGCGCGUAGGCGGCUCUUUAAGUCUCACUGUGAAAGCCCGGGGCUCAACCCCGACGGACUGCAGGGGAUACUGGGGAGCUGGAGACAGGUAGAGGCUAACGGAAUUCCGGGUGUAGCGGUGGAAUGCGUAGAGAUCCGGAAGAACACCAGAGGCGAAGGCGGUUAGCUGGACCUGGUCUGACGCUGAGGCGCGAAAGCGUGGGGA